UGUCUCCCUGGGGCUGCCUUUUAUUUUCAACAUGUAUGCUUAUUGACCAUAUUCUUAAUGUUAGUUGUGAUUAAACUUGUUUGAAGUUCUCCAAGAAUGUGUUUUCUUCAGGUCCAUAGUUUUUGCUUGAGUUACAUAAAAUUAGUUAUUGUCUGUCACGUCCUUUCGUUUUUUUUCUAUAGGAAUUCUGAAACUCAUAAAUAUGUUGAGUGCAUUUGUGGUGUUACUAAACAUAACUAGACCUCCUGUUCUUACUAUUAACUACGCCACAUGCAAUGCACGUCAUGACCAAAUUCAACAUCCUGCGUCAGAUUGUGGAACCUCUGUCUUAAAUGCAAAACAUCAUGUGCAUCUGGAUUUGACAUUAUGGAAAAGAGAAAACUAAUUUCGAGAUAUAAGCCACUCAUGCUAAAACUAUUCUUUCGAGAUAUGUGCCACUCAUGCUUCUAUUUUACUAAGAUACUAAAACUAUUUGCAUCGUCACCAACAUGAUGCAUUUCUGAAACUCAGGUCCUCACAGAGAUCCUAGAAAGAUUGAAAUGGUUUCCCCCCUCUUAUAUUUAGAGUCAGCAUCCAGUAUAUUCACAGGCCACUUAAUUAAUAGUUAAAGCUACCUCAACUUAAGAUUAGAGGUCAAACAUCAGGGCAAAUAGAUUAGAGAAUAGUACUUUUCCUUGAGCUUUAUGUUUAGUAAUGAUUGUUCUGUAUAUUUGGCAGGAGGAAUAUUUGCUUUAUACUCUCUAAUACUAUGCAGGAAUGCAAAGGCUAGUCUGCUCCCUAACUAACUGCUCUCUGAGACCCGUAUAUCAGGUUUCCAACUCAAGCGGAUGGUGUUGUUACACCAGCAAUGUCAGGUAAAUCUGCUGUGAUGUCUGCUGUAGAUGGCUUGAAGGCUGGAAUAUCUAGUGUUAAUGAAGGUGAAGUGGUCACGACGUUGCAUUUCUCGUUGUUCUAUUCAGUCUGCAAAGGAUCCGAGGUAAUGUUUGCUGAUUUGCUACUCUGUUAGAUCAGUUCAACUAGUCUAUCAGUUCAGCUUAACUUUGCAUGUCUUGUUCUUCCAUGCCUUCUACUGGGUUACCCAGGGCAACCUGCAGUUUUUGUGAAGAACUUGACUGAAAAUGAGAAGGUCUUCUGUCUAUCCUGAGUACUAUUUCAAAUCUUAUAUGUUUAUUGCCAUGCAAUGUUUUCACACAUUAUGAAAUAAUUUUUAAUAUUAUAGUGCACUAAGCUUCUUUUUACUAUGUCUAACGAUUUAUGCAACAAACUUGUAAUAAUUUACUCCAUCCAUGCGGAUUUUACCGUGUUUCUCAGGAUAUACAUAGUGUUGAAAUUGCUACAAGUGGAUCUGUUCAGUAUGUGCCUAUAUCAUAUAAAUUGAAUUCGGUUGUUGAGAACAGUUGUCGGUUCAAUAUUUCUUUGUGCUAGGUUGCCUUCUCCAUCUUUUUUUUGAGAGUACAGUUGCCUUCUCCAUCUUGAUGGACUUGCAUGGUACUGUUUAGUCUCCUUACAACCGCUGAUCCCACUAUUUGACUUGGAUCUGGAAACAUACAUAAUAUUUGAACAUAUGUUAUUUUGAAUGAAAAGCAAUGUCCUAAGUCAUCCAAUCACUGAUUUGUUAUAUAUAUGAUUCCUCUCUUUCAUUCGAAUUAUCACCACUACCGCCACAUGAUCUUUCUAAUGCCCAGUAUUUACUACAAGCAUAGCUGAACUUGGGGUCAUGACGAUCACUACAAUAUUGGUGACCAUCAUAAUGCUUCUGCUAUGGCAGGCCAACAUCAUUGUCGUUAUAUACUUUCUCACCCCCUGUGCCUGGAGCAAAUUUUCUUUUCUUCAGGUUUGGGGAGUGUACCAGAUGGUAGUUGGGUUCUUUUGGUAUUCGCGGCUGUACUGUAUUUGACAAUGUACCUGAGGAAAUAUGAGAUCAAGUUGAAGUACGGAACUGAGGUUAAGCAAAAGCUUUUGGUGGAUUUAAUGAUCUUUGGUCUUUUCCUGACCAUAAUGCCUGCCAUUUAUUCGAUGAUCUUUUUUGUCUGCAUCAAGUGGGUCUCUGUUCCUGUUGUUCCUCAGAAUGAAAGGUUUCUGUUUCGCCGGUCUGCCCCCAAAGAACUACCACAUGUUUAGCUGCAUUGCUUGGUACAAGCAUAGAAAAGGCUGUUUUGGAAACAGAAUAAAAGUACAUUUCCUCUGAAAAUGAUGUAUACUGAUCACGCUGGAUUGAAACCUGAAUGCAUCUAUUCAUGUUUGGCUGGGCAGGCGGUCAACUGGAGACGACAUGGGGCAUGGCUCUUUGCGUGGAGCUCUUUCACUUGAGUCCAGAGAUCUUUUUCUACUACUAUUGUACUUGAGUCCUUUCGGAAUUACUUGUCACAAAAGUGGAUAAAAAUGGAUGUAUCUACAAUUAAAAUACAUUUAGAUACAUUCAUUUCUAGGACGAGUAAUUCCGAACGGAGGGAGUACUUGAGUCCUCUUUGGACACUAUCAAGAAAACCAUUCGAUUAGAUGCGGGUGUGUUUUGUUAACUAAUGAUACUAGUGAAGUUUUCUGAACAAGAAUACAAGAUAGAGCCCUUGGUCUUAA